rnacentral:rRNA from 1 species
AUUGAACGCUGGCGGAAUGCUUUACACAUGCAAGUCGAGCGGCAGCACGGGGGCAACCCUGGUGGCGAGCGGCGAACGGGUGAGUAAUACAUCGGAACAUGCCCAGUCGUGGGGGAUAACACUUCGAAAGAAGUGCUAAUACCGCAUACGUCCUGAGGGAGAAAGCGGGGGAUCUUCGGACCUCGCGCGAUUGGAGUGGCCGAUGUCAGAUUAGCUAGUUGGUGGGGUAAAGGCCUACCAAGGCAACGAUCUGUAGCUGGUCUGAGAGGAUGAUCAGCCACACUGGGACGGAGACACGGCCCAGACUCCUACGGGAGGCAGCAGUGGGGAAUUUUGGACAAUGGGGGCAACCCUGAUCCAGCCAUUCCGCGUGAGUGAAGAAGGCCUUCGGGUUGUAAAGCUCUUUUGUCCGGGAAGAAACGGUUUCAACUAAUACUUGAGACUACUGACGGUACCGGAAGAAUAAGGACCGGCUAACUACGUGCCAGCCGCCGCAGUAAUAC